UACGUAGGGUGCGAGCGUUGUCCGGAAUUAUUGGGCGUAAAGGGCUCGUAGGCGGUUUGUCACGUCGGGAGUGAAAACUCGGGGCUUAACUCCGAGCCUGCUUCCGAUACGGGCUGACUAGAGGUAUGCAGGGGAGAACGGAAUUCCUGGUGUAGCGGUGAAAUGCGCAGAUAUCAGGAGGAACACCGGUGGCGAAGGCGGUUCUCUGGGCAUUACCUGACGCUGAGGAGCGAAAGCGUGGGGAGCGAACAGG
rnacentral:rRNA from 1 species